UGAUCUGGAGUUAUAGACAAUGAAGGGUUUUCCGCCAUUCAAGUUUUCCAUCUUUGACACCAGGAUACACUUCAUCACAAGACGAUUCAUCUCUUUUCCCCAUCUCUACACCACUUUCUGAGGAACAUAGAAUUUAACAAUGCCACUGGUGACUCAGUGAUUUUGGCUGAAGAAAGAAAAUCAGAUGCAGAGUAUGCCAUUCUCAACUUUGGGAAUUUUCCAGAAGGUCUUGGACUUACAGUGAAAGUAGGAGAGUAUUCUCCCACAUGCUCCACGUGGUCAAGAAUUGUCUUUAUCUGAGGAGGUGAUAGACUGGGCUGCGGGAAUUCCUGAGACUCUGCACUCUGUAUGCAGUGAGAGUUGUGGUCCUGGAUUUAGCGAGAGCCUCCAGUAGAGAAAGGCUGUCUGUUGUUCUGACGGAACUCUCUGCCCAGAGAAUGAGAUUUCCACUGACACAGAAAUGCCUCUUUUUAGAUACCUGAUUUCUUGCUCAUAGGCC